UUUUGGUGUUCUUUUGCCGAUUUCGGACUUAAGGCACGGCCAAGGUGAAUGCCUAGACCUAGGCCUAUGCAGUUUGGUUUUAGUCUAAACCUAAUUAAUGACUAUCUUACCCACCAUGGCCUGUAUCUUCUAUUGUCGUAGGUAGACUGCUACCACCCAGACAGUUGUAGAUGACAGCCCUGUGCCUGCCCCAACCUUAACAGAGGUUAUUCUUCUGAAAGGGUAGUAAAUUUGGCACUGCAUAAGAGAUAUACGUACUGCACUAAACUUACUAGGUUGGUCAGAAUGGCUCCUACCCGUGCUCAGGUGUUGCAACUGUAUCGUGCUCUUCUGCAGUACGGUAGAACGUUACAGUUAACAGAUCAAGAGUAUUUCUACCAGAGGGUGCGAGGAGAAUUUGAAAGGAACAAAGGGAUCGUUUCAGAAAAGGAAAAGAAUUUUUAUUUUGACAAAGGUUUGAGUUUCCUCUCAAAGCAGAGGCUUGUGUAGUUGUUGCAUUAUUAUUAAAAUUUAAUAAAACAUUUAUUUUGUAGAUAUUUUGCAAAUGGAAAUUGUGGUUUUGCCAAAUCACAUUGUACCAAUUAUUGUCAUUGAGAGUCAUGUUAAGAUGAUGAGAGAAGAAAUGUCAUACUUUUUACCUGAAUGUAUUUAUUAUAAAGCCUUGUGAUUGAAUGUAGAUAGGGUAGUUUAACUGACAGCUGAUUUUAAGCUUCUUGGAUUGAAGUUGUUUAUGCACAUUGUGUGACAUUUAUUCAGUUUUUUUCAUUUAAAUCUUUAUCAGAUUCAGUGGCGGCUCAUGGAUCAUUCACGGGGGUGCUGUUACUUAAUUUCUUUUUUAGAUUCCUUCAUAUUACCUGCAUAAACACGCAUUAUAUAUACA